rnacentral:rRNA from 1 species
GAUGAACGCUGGCGGCGUGCCUAAUACAUGCAAGUCGAGCGAACAGAUGAGGAGCUUGCUCCUCUGACUUUAGCGGCGGACGGGUGAGUAACACGUGGAUAACCUACCUAUAAGACUGGGAUAACUUCGGGAAACCGGAGCUAAUACCGGAUAAUAUAUUGAACCGCAUGGUUCAAUAGUGAAAGACGGUUUUGCUGUCACUUAUAGAUGGAUCCGCGCCGCAUUAGCUAGUUGGUAAGGUAACGGCUUACCAAGGCAACGAUGCGUAGCCGACCUGAGAGGGUGAUCGGCCACACUGGCACUGCGCCACGGUCCAGACUCCUACGGGAGGCAGCAGUAGGGAAUCUUCCGCAAUGGGCGAAAGCCUGACGGAGCAACGCCGCGUGAGUGAUGAAGGUCUUCGGAUCGUAAAACUCUGUUAUUAGGGAAGAACAAAUGUGUAAGUAACUAUGCACGUCUUGACGGUACCUAAUCAGAAAGCCACGGCUAACUACGUG